UGCUGGGUGAUGGCUCGAUAAAGGACAGCAAAGGCAAGAUGCACUUGACUCCAGAGUGCUGGCUGGAGUCGAUCCUUGGUAACAACAUCCCUGUCAGCUCAACGUACGCCUGGGACAAGGUGACGUUCAGAGACAAACCUUUGUCUUAUUACUUAUUGAACAUGGAGGCUGAAGGAGGGUCACCGCAGACCUUUCCUGAGGACGAUGUUCAACACUGCAGAGCUGCUUCUUCUCAGGAGGUGCUGACCACAGAGGCAGCCAGUCUGAGAAGUCUAAUGGAAAUCAAGAUCAUCCACCUGGUGGAUGAUGAGGAACUGCUGCCAAAUGCUAUAAUGGACUGUUGCUGGGAGAAACUCUUAAAGAAAGAGUCUGAUGACUGGGGGGGUCAAUUAUUCUAAUUAUCUCCCCCCACAUGUUGUCCAUAACUGUUUGUUUUGAGAUUAUCACUUUACUCAUUAUGACUUCCACUGAGUGAUCACCAAUGGGAUUUAAAACUCUUCAUCUUUCCCGUAUUACACAGGUGUGUUGUUCCCAUGUGUUUGUACUUCAGCUUUCAUGCUGUAACUGUUUAUAUCACUUUAAAAAGUGCAAACUCUAUUUGUCAAUGUGAUGG
rnacentral:lncRNA from 1 species